ACCUCCGAGGUGUACAGCCAACUCGUCAAUGGCUGGACCCCACGGUCGGUCGCGGGAUGAGCAGCCGCCCCUCUCCCCGGACGGGCCCCUCUCCUCCCCCACUCCCGUCCGUGCUCCCUUCCCCUGCCCUGCCUGGCUUACCACGCAAGAGGGGAACAGAGAGAGACAGAGAGCGCAGCGGCCGGAGGUGUGUUGCGGCACGUACGGAGGAAGCUCGGAGUGUGAUGGUGCGGCGCGGGCGGGUGGAGCUGCGGCGGAUCGAGGACCGGACGAGCCGGCAGGUGCGCUUCUCCAAGCGCCGGUCGGGGCUCUUCAAGAAGGCCUUCGAGCUCGCGCUCCUCUGCGACGCCGAGGUCGCGCUGCUCGUCUUCUCCCCCGCCGGCAAGCUCUACGAGUACUCCUCCUCCUUAAGCAUUGAAGGCACAUAUGACCGCUAUCAGCAAUUUGCGGGAGCCGUAAGGAACACAUAUCAAGGAGGCGCAAGUACCAGCAAUGAUGAAGAUCCUUCAAAUCUACAGUCAAGGCUUAGGGAGAUUACUGCCUGGUCUGUUCACAAUAAUGCUGAUAAUGCAGAUGCCAGUAAUCUAGAGAAACUGGAGAAACUACUGACAGAUGCUAAGAGGGUACUUUAAUGGCCCCGUUGUCACUUGUAGUCCACUUAUAUCGAUGAAAAUCCAGUUUCCAAGUCAUGUUGUAUCGUCAUUCCUUGAAUAAAUGGCUGUGGUUUCUGCCAUCUUUUCACCUGAGCUUUGGCGAAACAAAAUAGCAACAGGAGUGCAACCGGUGAGAACUCCAAUGGACCUACUGGAGAGGGAGGAAACGCUUAAGAAGAGCUUAGGUGACAUGUCCUGUGCAAGCAUUCAGCGCACGAUUAAAACUAUUUCGUGCUGCCGCACAUACAUUUCCCCUCUUCCCCUAUUAUUGGGAAGGAGAUGGUGCAGGCCGCUGCUUAUAAGAUGUAAGUGAGGAGGUGCAACCUCAAUGGAAGCGUAAGGGUAAUACUAAUAACAUGUCUGUGCACCGUGCUAACGGAGACAUGCUUUACCUAUAUGGCUCUGUGUGCUGCUCUGUGCUAUUCUAUCUAUGUAUGCUUGCUCCUGUAGGAGCUGUGAUUUCGUAUUAUUUGCCUGUGUCCAAGCUCAUCUCUUGUGAUAUAUAUGCAACGACAAUAUUUCCAAACUUGAAAUUUCAGUGUGAA